rnacentral:sRNA from 1 species
GCCAGGCAUGGAGGUGCAUGCCUGUAAUCCCAGCGACUUGGGAGGCUGAUGCAGGAGGAUUACAGGUUUGAGGCCAGUCUCAGCAACUU